rnacentral:rRNA from 1 species
AUUGAACGCUGGCGGUAUGCCUUACACAUGCAAGUCGAACGGUAGAGGGGCAACCCUUGAGAGUGGCGAACGGGUGAGUAAUACAUCGGAACGUGCCCAGUCGUGGGGGAUAACGUAGCGAAAGCUACGCUAAUACCGCAUACGACCUGAGGGUGAAAGCGGGGAUCGCAAGACCUCGCGCGAUUGGAGCGGCCGAUGGCAGAUUAGGUAGUUGGUGGGGUAAAGGCCUACCAAGCCUGCGAUCUGUAGCUGGUCUGAGAGGACGACCAGCCACACUGGGACUGAGACACGGCCCAGACUCCUACGGGAGGCAGCAGUGGGGAAUUUUGGACAAUGGGCGCAAGCCUGAUCCAGCAAUGCCGCGUGCAGGAAGAAGGCCUUCGGGUUGUAAACUGCUUUUGUACGGAACGAAACGGUCCGGGUUAAUACCCUGGGCUAAUGACGGUACCGUAAGAAUAAGCACCGGCUAACUACGUGCCAGCCGCCGCCGUAAUAC